UACGUAGGGUGCGAGCGUUAAUCGGAAUUACUGGGCGUAAAGCGUGCGCAGGCGGUUUUGCAAGCCGGGUGUGAAAUCCCCGGGCUCAACCUGGGAAUGGCAUUCGGGACUGCAAGGCUGGAGUGCGGCAGAGGAGAAUGGAAUUCCUGGUGUAGCGGUGAAAUGCGCAGAUAUCAGGAGGAACACCGGUGGCGAAGGCGGUUCUCUGGGCCUGUACUGACGCUGAGGAGCGAAAGCGUGGGGAGCGAACAGG
rnacentral:rRNA from 1 species